rnacentral:rRNA from 1 species
UACGGGGGGGGCAAGCGUUGUUCGGAAUUACUGGGCGUAAAGGGCUCGUAGGCGGCCAACUAAGUCGGAUGUGAAAUCCCUCAGCUUAACUGGGGAACUGCGUCCGAUACUGGAUGGCUUGGAUUUGGGAGAGGGAUGCGGAAUUCCAGGUGUAGCGGUGAAAUGCGUAGAUAUCUGGAGGAACACCGGUGGCGAAGGCGGCAUCCUGGACCAAUAUUGACGCUGAGGUGCGAAAAGCGUGGGGAGCAAACAGG